rnacentral:rRNA from 1 species
UACGUAGGGGGCUAGCGUUGUCCGGAAUCAUUGGGCGUAAAGCGCGCGUAGGCGGCCCGGUAAGUCCGCUGUAAAAGUCCAGGGCUCAACCCUGGAACGCCGGUGGAUACUGUCGGGCUAGAGUCCGGAAGAGGCGAGUGGAAUUCCCGGUGUAGCGGUGAAAUGCGCAGAUAUCGGGAGGAACACCUAUGGCGAAGGCAGCUCGCUGGGACGUUACUGACGCUGAGACGCGAAAGCGUGGGGAGCAAACAGG